rnacentral:tRNA from 1 species
UCUAUUGGCAGAUUAUUGCAUUAGAAUUAGAAUCUAAAUAACU